AACGCACGAGACCUGCGGACCUGCGGAGGGAUCAUUAAUGAACAUAAAUUUGAGCAAGGUUGAUGCUGGCUUCCAGGAAGGCAUGUGCACACCUUGCCUCAAUUUUCAACCAAAUGUGCACCUCGCAUGAAUCUGAAAUACUCUCAGUGUCGUUGCUCUUGAUGAAGAAAGGAUGGAAUUUUCCAGUUCGAGUGCAUGUGUUCGAUUCAACCUCAGAGAAGCGCCGGCUUUGGCACAGAC
rnacentral:misc_RNA from 1 species